AUACGUAGGGAGCGAGCGUUGUCCGGAUUUACUGGGCGUAAAGGGAGCGUAGGCGGGCGUGCAAGUCAGAUGUGAAAUACAUGGGCUCAACCCCUGGGCGGCAUUUGAAACUGCCUUUCUUGAGUGAGGGAGAGGUAAGCGGACUUCCUGGUGUAGCGGUGAAAUGCGUAGAUAUAAGGAGGAACACCAGUGGGGAAGGCGGCCUGCUGGACGACAACUGACGCUGAGGCGCGAAAGCGUGGGGAGCAAACAGGAUUAGAUACCCUGGUAGUCCACGCUGUAAACGAUGAAUACUAGGUGUGGGGGGACUGACCCCCUCCGUGCCGCAGUUAACACAAUAAGUAUUCCACCUGGGGAGUACGAUCGCAAGAUUGAAACUCAAAGGAAUUGACGGGG
rnacentral:rRNA from 1 species